AUAUUCUAUGAUUAGGACGACUGAACUUUUGGAUCGGAGAUAUGAAGACGCGCGCUGCAUUUUCCUUGGCGGAGAUGCACAGCUCUGACACUAGACAAUAAUAUUAUACACUCGAAGGGAACGCGUUUCGUCGGAAGAAUAAAUAAUUACUUUGUCAAAGUCAAAAGUCAAAGUGAGAGAGAUGGAGAUGGAGCGAGAUGUAGACGGAUGAAGAGAGCUGUUUCUUCGGCGACAGCGUGUGCUGCAGUACAGCUAGGUUUCACUGGAAGAGUAGAUGUUUAUGCAAAAAGAAGCUGAUAGGACUUGGUGGAAAAACGGUAAAGAUUUUUGUCAAACGAAUUAUGAAAUUUCUAUUUACGGACAGCCUUUUAAAGUUGUACUCUUUCCAUGGCAGAGGAAAUAAAAAGAAAUGUUUUUCCAAUCUUGCAAUAUCGAAAGUCAUAUUUAAUUCAGUCAAGUGUUUGAAAAAAUUUCAAAGUGAAACCAUUAAUGAAGAGAUCGAACAAUUUAUAAAAUAUGCACUCAUUCAAGCACCAUUUAAUAUAAAAAGAAAAGAAACUAAUAUAUCAAUGUAAUUCAUAUAUUAUACCUAAUUAAAAUAAUAAAAAUAC